UAACGCGUGGGAACGUACCUUUUGCUACGGAAUAACUCAGGGAAACUUGUGCUAAUACCGUAUGUGCCCUUCGGGGGAAAGAUUUAUCGGCAAAGGAUCGGCCCGCGUUGGAUUAGCUAGUUGGUGAGGUAAAGGCUCACCAAGGCGACGAUCCAUAGCUGGUCUGAGAGGAUGAUCAGCCACACUGGGACUGAGACACGGCCCAGACUCCUACGGGAGGCAGCAGUGGGGAAUAUUGGACAAUGGGCGCAAGCCUGAUCCAGCCAUGCCGCGUGAGUGAUGAAGGCCCUAGGGUUGUAAAGCUCUUUCACCGGUGAAGAUAAUGACGGUAACCGGAGAAGAAGCCCCGGCUAAC
rnacentral:rRNA from 1 species